rnacentral:rRNA from 1 species
GUCUAUGGCCAUACCACCCUGAACACACCCAACCUUGUCUGAGCUGAUCUCAGAAGUUAAGCAGGGUUUGGCCUGGUUAGUACUUGGAUGGGAGAAAACUUUUAUUGAGCCAACAAGAUAACUCAGUUGGCUUGGAGC